UAGGUGGAAGCUUUUGUUUGAAGUGUUUAACUUUUGAUUAAAUGAAACCGGAUACGUUCAUCUAA
rnacentral:tRNA from 1 species